rnacentral:lncRNA from 1 species
CCUCGGAGGAGGUCAGGGCUUCCCACCAAGCCCAGGCUGUCUGCUGAGGGUCCCUGGUGUGGGUGUCAGGGGAGGCCCCUUUAUCCAUGUUUGGCAAGCACAUGCCUCCUAUGGGCUGGCCCCUGGACGGGCACUGUGAAAUGGACCACGAUCGUCUUCAUGCAGCCAGAUGAUGAUAGACAGAGAGAUGGACGGACUGACUGUGUAAUUCACGUGGGAUAAGACUGGGGCCAGAGGAAGUGGGCCGUGUGCAGAGAGCAGUGGGUGGCAGAUAAGACCACAGGUGUCCAGAGCAGGACCUUCAUGACGGGACAUAGGCACGAACACCCCAGUGACGAGAAGGAGCCAGCUGCACAGAGAUCGGAGAAGCGUGGUCUAAGCGUCCAAUCCCCCCACCAAGGCCUGGCUGUGAUGAGCUCGAUGCACGCAGAGCGCCCCGUGGACUGCUGCCGGAACUUAGCGGCCUGGUCCCGCCCAGUGCACAGCGUUAGACAUAAAGGAUCAAGAAGGUCUUGCUGCAUGUGAGGAAUCCAAGACACCCAACCACGAAACACCUGAGUUAUGGCCUGGGGAUUCAGCUCAGUGGUUCCACCGCCUGCCUCGCAAGCACAAGGUCCUGAGUUCGGUCCCUGAUACCAAAAAAAAAAUUAAAUAAAUAAAAC